AACGAACGCUGGCGGCAGGCUUAACACAUGCAAGUCGAACGGAUCCUUCGGGAUUAUUGGCAGUCGGGUGAGUAACGCGUGGGAACUUACACUUUGCUACGGAAUAACUCAGUGAAACUUGAGCUAAUACCGUAUGUGCCCUACGGGGGAAAGAUUUAUCGGCACAGGAUCGGCCCUCGUUGGAUUAGCUAGUUGGUGGUGUAAUGGCCUACCAAGGAGAGGAUCCCUAGCUGGUCUGAGAGGAUGAUCAGCCACACUAGGACUAAGACACGGCCGAGAAUCCUACGCGAGGGAGCAGAGGGGAAUAUAGGAAAAGGGGGGCAAGCGUGAUACAGCCAUGCGGGGUGAGUGAUGAAGGUCUUAGGAUAGUAAAGCGCAUUCAACGGUGAAGAUAAUGACGGUAGCCGGAGAAGAAGCCCCGGCUAACUUCGUG
rnacentral:rRNA from 1 species